CUUAUGCCUCCAAAUAAGAAUUUUCUAUCUCUCCAGGAAAGCAGGGUGAAAAAUUGCAUUCAAUGGGUGCUAAGCUGUCAUGCUGGAAUUCAUACAGCAAAGUGCUAGCUCAACGGCAGAGAAAGCAAAAUUCCUUGAAGCUAUCUGCCAAACAUUACAGAGCUGAAGUCUGUGGGAAAUGCCAACGCAGGCGGGACUUCAUUCUGGUAUCUAAUCAGAGCUCCGCUGCUGACCUGUCCUGUGACCACCAGUGACUCAUUCGACUGUCCUUACUGUUACCCCGCCUCACCAGCACCU